rnacentral:SRP_RNA from 1 species
GGCCAGUUCCCGCGCAAUCGAGAGUCACGAACUCCGUCAGGACCGGAAGGUAGCAGCGGUCAGUGAUCGCCUCGAUGUGCCGCGGAUCCAACUGACCCGA